GGGGAACCCGGACUUUUACUUUGAAAAAAUUAGAGUGCUCCAGGCAGGCCUAUGCUCGAAUACAUUAGCAUGGAAUAAUAGAAUAGGACGUGUGGUUCUAUUUUGUUGGUUUCUAGGACCGCCGUAAUGAUUAAUAGGGACAGUCGGGGGCAUCAGUAUUCAAUUGUCAGAGGUGAAAUUCUUGGAUCUAUUGAAGACUAACUACUGCGAAAGCAUUUGCCAAGGAUGUUUUCAUUGAUAAGGAACGAAAGUUAGGGGAUCGAAGACGAUCAGAUACCGUCGUAGUCUUAACUAUAAACUAUGCCGACUAGGGAUCGGACGAUGUUAUCUUUUGACGCGUUCGGCACCUUUCGAGAAAUCAAAGUGCUUGGGCUCCAGGGGGAGUAUGGUCGCAAGGCUGAAACUUAAAGAAAUUGACGGGAGGGCACCACCAGGGGUGGAACCUGCGGCUUAAUUUGACCCAACACGGGGAAACUCACCAGGUCCAGACACAGUGAGGAUUGACAGAUUGAGAGCUCUUUCUUGAUUCUGUGGGUGGUGGUGCAUGGCCGUUCUUAGUUGGUGGAGUGAUUUGUCUGCUUAAUUGCGAUAACGAACGAGACCU
rnacentral:rRNA from 1 species